rnacentral:rRNA from 1 species
GACGAACGCUGGCGGCGUGCUUAACACAUGCAAGUCGAGCGGUAAGGCCCUUUCGGGGGUACACGAGCGGCGAACGGGUGAGUAACACGUGGGUGACCUGCCCUCAGCUCUGGGAUAAGCCUGGGUAACCGGGUCUAAUACCGGAUAUGACUCCAUGACGCAUGUUGUGGGGUGGAAAGCCUUGUGCGGCUGAGGAUGGGCCCGCGGCCUAUCAGCUUGUUGGUGGGGUGAUGGCCUACCAAGGCGACGACGGGUAGCCGGCCUGAGAGGGCGACCGGCCACACUGGGACUGAGACACGGCCCAGACUCCUACGGGAGGCAGCAGUGGGGAAUCUUGCGCAAUGGGCGAAAGCCUGACGCAGCGACGCCGCGUGAGGGAUGACGGCCUGU